GACGAACGCUGGCGGCGUGCCUAAUACAUGCAAGUCGAACGCACGAAGUUGAAGAGCUUGCUCUUUAACCAAGUGAGUGGCGGACGGGUGAGUAACACGUGGGUAACCUGCCCAUUAGAGGGGGAUAACAUUCGGAAACGGAUGCUAAUACCGCAUAAUUUCAGGAAUCGCAUGAUUCUUGAAGGAAAGGUGGCUUCGGCUACCACUAAUGGAUGGACCCGCGGCGUAUUAGCUAGUUGGUGAGGUAAUGGCUCACCAAGGCAAUGAUACGUAGCCGACCUGAGAGGGUGAUCGGCCACACUGGGACUGAGACACGGCCCAGACUCCUACGGGAGGCAGCAGUAGGGAAUCUUCCGCAAUGGACGAAAGUCUGACGGAGCAACGCCGCGUGAGUGAAGAAGGUUUUCGGAUCGUAAAACUCUGUUGUUAAAGAAGAACAAGGAUGAGAGUAACUGCUCAUCCCCUGACGGUAUUUAACCAGAAAGCCACGGCUAACUUCGUGCCAGCCGCCGCAGUAAAAC
rnacentral:rRNA from 1 species